rnacentral:rRNA from 1 species
GAUAAACGCUGGCGGCGUGCUUAACACAUGCAAGUCGAACGGAGUACUUCUCCCGAGACCGAGGAAGCUUGCUUCCAAAGAAUCAUUUGAAGUACUUAGUGGCGGACGGGUGAGUAACGCGUGGGUAACCUGCCUCACACAGGGGGAUAACAGUUGGAAACGACUGUUAAUACCGCAUAAGCGCACAGUAUCGCAUGAUACAGUGUGAAAAACUCCGGUGGUGUGAGAUGGACCCGCGUCUGAUUAGCUAGUUGGUGAGGUAACGGCCCACCAAGGCGACGAUCAGUAGCCGGCCUGAGAGGGUGUACGGCCACAUUGGGACUGAGACACGGCCCAAACUCCUACGGGAGGCAGCAGUGGGGAAUAUUGGGCAAUGGGCGACAGCCUGACCCAGCAACGCCGCGUGAGGGAAGAACGUUUUCGGAUCGUAAACCUCUGUCCUUGGUGAAGAGGAAGAGACGGUAGCCAAGGAGGAAGCUCCGGCUAACUAC